UUAACUUUAAUGUAAUUAUUUAUGUAAAGAAAAAGUCUUAGAAAUCUUACAUAAAGUUAAAAAAUGUAAUGGGAUGCUAGACCCCAAAAGAUUUAGCAGCAUUACUCUGAGAACUUCCAGUUUAGAAAUAUACAGAGUAAGCCACAUACAACUUGCUAUGUGAUCUAUUUUGUUUUCUUUUUUGUUUUAGGAUAUGGGGUCUCACUCUGUCACCUAGGCUGGAGUACAGUGGUGCAAUCACAGGUCACUGCAGGCUUGCACUCCUGAGCUAAGGAUCCUCCUGCCUCUGCCUCCUUAGUAGCUAUACAUGAUGACACCUGGUUAAUUUUUAAAUGUUUUCAUACACAUUGGAUCUCACUUUGUUGGUCAGGCUGGUGUCAAACUCCUGGCCUCUAGUGACUUUUCCAUCCCUGCCUCCCAUCCUAGAGGCAUGAUCCACCACAACGAGCACUUGUUCAAUUUUCUAAGGAAAUAAAAUUUUCUAAAGUAAGCCUGUGGCAGGAAGAUAAAAGUAAAAAACAGAAGAAUACAUUCUAAUGAUUUAUUCCCACAUAUUCUUUUGAAAGCAAGAACUUUUAGUAGACACAUAUUUUACAAAGGCAAAGAAACAAUGUUUUACAAGUACUUCAACACACACUGUCAUGUUCUUACUUCUCUGACAUCAGUUCUUUUUUGUAUUUUUAGUAGAGAUGGAGUUUCACCAUGUUGACCAGGAUGGUCUCGAUCUUCUGCCCUCGUGAUCCAACUGCCUCAAGUCAAGCUCUUCAGGCCCACUUUGAGCCUUCCGAUGACCUGGACAGGCCCAGCUCUUUCCUCCCAGUGGCCUCUGCAGGCCUAGCUUUUGCCUCACAGGUAUUCCUUGAACAGGUUUCUGCUUGCCUCCUGGUAGCCUUGAGAAGCCCAGGUGUUGCCUCACUCUAACCUCAUUAGGACCAGGUCACAGUGGCCUCUCCAGACCCAGCAUCUGUCCCCUGACAGGCUGUCCAGGCCAAAAUGUCUUCUAGUCACCCUCUUCAGGCGCAGCUUCUGUCUCACACUGGACUCUUUAGGUACAGCUCAUGCCUUUCGGCAGCCUCUUGAGGCCCAGUUCCUGUAUCUCUGUGGCCUCUCCGGACUGAGAGAUUUCUCAAAUCUGCCAUUCCAGGUCCAACUCCUGCUUCCAGUCGGCCCCAAUAGGCUUAAACUCUGCCUCACAGCAGACACCCCAGGCCAAGCGUGUGCCUCACCACAGUGCCCCCAGGCCAAGCUUCUGCCUUUCGGCAGCAUCUGCAGGCCCAGCUACUGCCUCCUAAUGGCCUGUCUAGGUGAAGCUCAUGCAUCACAAUGGCCAUUCUGAUCAAGCUUUUACUUUUUGGCAGCGUCUCCACGCCCAGAACUUCCUGAAGUGGGCCCUCCCAUGCCCAGCAUUGGCCUGCUGGCAUCCUCUCUGGGCCCAGAACGUCUUCAGGUAGGCCCAGCUUUUGGGGCCCAGCUCCUCCUCUCAGCUGUGUCUACGGGCUCAACUUUUGAAUUUGCCUCACAGCAACCUCUGGGGACUCGGUUCCUCCCCAGCUUCUGGUGUCCUUUAUAGGCCCGAAAGCUCAGGCUCUCCAGGCCCUCCCAGCUCAUGUCUCACACUGGCCUCUCCAGGCUCGGCUCCUGCCCUCCCAGGGCAUCUCCAGGCCUCAGACGUUCCCGAGUCGGCUUCUGCUGGCCCGGCUCCUGCUGCCUCAUCAUGCUGGCCUCGGGAGGCCCAAGCAUUGGUUCCUGAAGUUUAUCUCUGCAGGCCCAGCUUCUGCCUUCCCGGCAGCCCCCCAACAUGGGCUCCUCCAGGGCAAGCUCCUGCCUCCCAACGGCCACCUGGGACACAGCUCCUGCCUUCUGUCAGCCUCUUCGGGAGGCCCAGCCUCUGCCUCCCUACUGCCGGCCCCCACACACCCGGAUCGUCAUCCUGGCUGCGUCUAUCUGCCAAUGUUUUGCCCCCUGGCGGCCUCUUUUGGCUCGGCGCCUGGCCAGCUCCCGACGGCCUCUCGUCUGUCGGCCCGAAGCUUCCUCGGGGAUUUCGGGGUGUCCCUUCUGCAUCCCGGUGGCCUAGACAGGCCCAGCUACAUCCUGACAUCGGCCUCUCCAUGCCCACUUCUGGCCUCCCUACAGCACCCCCAGCACCAUCCACUGUGUGCCGGCCGCUUCCCCAGGCCUAGAUCCUGCCUACCUCCCGACUUCGUCCACAAACCCAACGCCUCCCUCACACUGGCCAGUUGAGGCCCAGCUUGGCCUCUAGCACAUGUCUCUGGACCCAGAUCUCACCUGGUGCUCGCCUUGAGUCUGAGCCCAGGUCCUCCCUCGCACCGACCUUUCUCGGCCCAGCUCGCCUCUCAUAAACUCUCCGGCCAGCUCCUGCCUCCCAGCGGCCUGUCCAGGCCCGAAGCUUCCUCUCCGGGCCCAGCCUCUCCAGGCCUGGCUCCUGCCUACGCUAGGCCCCUCUGGGCCCAGCCUCCACCUAACAGUGGACCCUCCAGACCCAGCUUAUGGCCUCAUCGUGGUCUGCGCUCAGCCCAGCUCCUGCCUCUGUGGCAGCCUGUCUCCACAGGCCCAGCUCCUGGCCUCCAGGUGGCCCCCUCGGGCCAAACCGGUGCCCCCAGGCGGCCCUGUGCCUAGCGUUGGCCUUCUGGCAUCCUCUCCUUGUCCAGAAUGUCAGCCUCUUUGGUCCCAGCCCCUCCUUCUGGCAGCUUCUUAGGGCCAACCUUUUGUUCUCGCCUCGCAGCAACCUCUGUUGCUCGGCUCCUCCCUAGCUCCUGGAGGCCUUUGUAGGACCAAAAGCUCAGGCCCUCGACUCAGGCUUUCCAGGACUACCCAGCUCAUGCCUCAUGCUGGCCUCUCCAGGCUCAGGUUUUGCCCACCCAGGGUUCCUAUAGGCCCCAGAUGUCCCAGAGUCGGCUUCUUCAGGCCCGGUUUUGGACUCCUCCUAAUGGCUUCUGCAGGCCUAAGCAUUGGGUUCUUAAUUUGGCCUCUGCAGGCCCAGCUCCAGUUCUGCUGGUGUCUCCUCCCCAUGGGUGCAAACGUCAUCAUGUGGAUUCUUCUAGGGCCAGCUCAUGCUUCCCAAAGGCGCCCUGGGCUUAGCUCCUGCCUCCCGUCAGCCUCUCCUGAAGGCCUAGCAUCUGCCUCGGUACUGGCGGCCUCUCAAGGCCUGGAUCCUCCUCCUGGCCACGUCUCCGGGCCCAAGUUUUGCUCCCGGCAGCCUCUUUUUUUUUUUUUUUUUUUAAAGAGAUGGAGUUUUGCUCUUGUUUCCCAGGUGUGGGUACAAUGACGUGAUCUCCGUUCACCUCAACCUCCGCCUUUUGGGUUUAGGCAAUUCUCCUGCCUCAGCCUCCUGAGUAGCUGGAGUUACAGGCACACGCCACCAUACCCAGCUAAUUUCUUUUUCUUUUUGAGACAGAGUUUCGCUCUUGUUACCCAGGCUGGAGUAGAAUGGUGCAAUCUAGGCUCACGGCAACCUCUGCCUCCUGGGUUCAGGCAAUUCUCCUGCGUCAGCCUCCUGAGUCGCUGGGAUUACAGGCACCCGCCACCGUAACCAGCUAUUUUUUUUUUUUUUUUUUUUUUUUGACAGAGUUUUGCUAUUGUCCAGGCUGGAGUGCAAUGGCGGGAUCUCGGCUCACCGCAACCUCCGCCUCCUGGGUUCAGGCAAUUCUCCUGCCUCAGCCUGCUGAGUAACUGGGAUUACAGGCACGCACCACCGUGGCCAACUAAUUGUUUCUUUUCUUUUUGAGAUGGAGUUUUGCUCUUGCUGCCCAGGCUGGAGUGCAGUGGCACGAUCUCGGCUCACUGCAACCUCUCCCUUCUCGGUUCAGGCAAUUCUCCUGCCUCAGCCUGCUGAGUAGCUGGGAUGACAGGCACGCACCACCAUGCCCAGCUAAUUUUUUGUAUUUAUAGUAGAGAUGGGGUUUCACCAUGUUGACCAGGAUGGUCUCAAUUUCCUGACCUCAUGAUCCACCCGCCUCGGCCUCCCAACGUGUUGGGAUUACAGGCGUGAGCUACUGUGCCUGGUCCCCAGCAGCGUCUUUUGGCUCGGCUCCUGGCCAGCGCCCGGAGGCCUUUUGUCUGUCGGCCCAAAGCUUCCUCAGUGUCCCUUCUGUUGAGGCCACUGGGAGGCAGAAGGGACGCCCGGAAGGCCCUACCUGAGGAAGCUUUGGGCCAACAGACGAAAGGCCUCUGGGAGCUGGCCAGGAGUCGAGCCAAAAGAGGCUGCCAGGGGCAAAACUUGGGCCGGUAGAUGUGGCCAGGAGGAGGUGCUAGGCCUGGUGUGGCUGCCAGUAGGGAGGCAGAGGCUGGGGCUCCUGGAGAGGCCGCCUGAUGGGAAUCAGGACCUGGGUUCCAGGGGCCACUGGGAUGCCGGAGCUAGCCCCGGAGGGGACCAUGUGAUGAUGUAUUGUGCCCACGUUGGGGGGUGCCGCCGGAAGGGCAGGAGCUGGACCUGCAGACGCAGGCUUCAUGACCCAAUGAUUGGGCCUCCCAAGGCCAGUGGGAGGACAAAGCAGGACUGGGCCUCAGGGCCGAGCUUUGGAGUCCCCCCAGCCUCCCCAGCCCCAGCUGCUGCCUGCUGGCUGCUUCCGCAGGCCAAGAUCCUGCCUGCCUGCCUGCCUGCCUGCAUCCCGGCUGCAUCCACAGGCCCAGCGCCUCCCUCACACUGGCCAGUUGAGGCUCAAGUCAUGCCUUUGCCGGACGUCUCGAGCCAGCUCUCACUUGGUGCUGGCCUUGAGUCUGGACACAGGCCCUCCCUCGCACCGGCCUCUCUUGGCCCAGCUCACCUCUCAUAAACUCUCCGCCAGCUCCUGCCUCCCAGCGGCUUGUCCAGGCCUGAAGCUUCCUCUCUGGGCCCCGCCUAUCCAGGCCUGGCUUUUGCCUGUGCUAGGCCCCUCCAGGCCCAGCCUCCACCUCUCAGUGGACCCUCCAGACCCAGCUUGUGGCUUCAUUGUGGCCUCCGCUCAGCCCAGCUCCUGCCUCUGUGGCAGCCUGUCUUCACAGGCCCAGCUUGUAGCCUCCCGGUAGCUCCCUUGGGCCAAACUGGUGCCCCCAGGCCGCCCUUCCAUGCCCAGCAUUGGCCUCCUGGCAUCGUCUCCUUGUCCAGAGUGUCUUCAGGUCAGCCUCUUGGGGCCCAGGCCCUCCUUCCGGCGGCUUCUAAGGGCCAACCUUCCAUUCUCGCCUCGCAGCAACCUCUGUGGACGCGGCUCCUCCCCAGCUCCCGGAGGCCUUUGUAGGCCUGAAAGCUCAGGCCCUCGACUCAGGCUCUCCAAGACUACCCAGGUCAUGCCUCACGCUGGCCUCCAGGCUCAGCUUCUGCCCAGCCAGGGUUCCCAUAGGCCCCAGAUGUCCCAGAGUCGGCUUCUCCAGGCCCGGGUCCAGACUCCUCCUGUUGGAUUCUGCAGGCUCAAGCAUUGGGUUCUCAAUUCGGCCUCUCCAGGCCCAGCUCCAGUUCUCCUGGCAUCUCCUCCCCAUGGGUGCAAAACAUUGUCACAUGGGCCCUUCUAGGGCCAGCUCAUGCUUCCCAAAGGCCCCCUGGGCUUAGCUCCUGCCUCCCAUCAGCCUCUCCUGGAGCCCCAUCCUCUGCCUCUGUACUGGCGGCCUCUCCAGGCCUGGAUCCUCCUCUUGGCCUUGUCUACGGGCCCAAGUUUUGCCCCUGGCAGCCUCUUUUUUUUUUUUUUUUUUUUUUGAGAUGGAGUUUUUCUCUUGUUACCCAGGCGCGAGUGCAGUGACCUGAUCUCGGCUCACCUCAACUUUUGCCUCUUGGGUUUAGGCAGUUCUCCUGCCUCAGCCUCCUGAGUAGCUGGGAUUACAGGCAUGCACCACCAUGCCCAGCUAAUUUUUUUUUUUUUUUGAGACCUAUUUUUGCUCUCGUUACCCAGGCUGGAGUAGAAUGGUGUGAUCUCGGCUCACCAGAACCUCCGCCUUUUGGGUUCAGGCAAUUCUCCUUCCUCAGCCUCCUGAGUAGCUGGGAUUACAGGCACGUGCCACCGUGCCCAGCUAAUUUUUUUUUUUUAUUUUUUUGAGAUGGAGUUUUGCUCUUGUUGCCCAGGCUGGAGUGCAAUGGCACGAUCUCGGUUCACUGCAAUGUCUGCCUCCUGGGUUCAGGCAAUUCUCCUGCCUCAGCCUCCUCAGUAGCUGGGAUUACAGGCAUGCACCACCAUGCCCAGCUAAUUUUUUGUAUUUUUUUUUUUUUGAGACCUAUUGUCGCUCUUGUUACCCAGGCUGGAGUAAAAUGGCGUGAUCUCGGCUCACCACAACCUCCGCCUUUUGGGUUCAGGCAAUUCUCCUUCCUCAGCCUCCUGAAUAGCUGGGAUUACAGGCACGCACCACCAUGCCCAGCUAAUUUUUUUUUUUUUUUGAGGUGGAGUUUUGCUCUUAUUGCCCAGGCUGGAGUGCAAUGGCACAAUCUCGGUUUACCACAAUGUCUGCCUCCUGGGUUCAGGCAAUUCUCCUGCCUCAGCCUCCUGAGCAGCUGGGAUUACAGGCACACACUACCAUGCCCAGUUAAUUUUUUGUACUUUUAGUUGAGACAGGGUUUCACCACGUUGACCAGGAUGGUCUCGAUCUCCUGACCUCGUGAUCCACCCGUCUCGGCCUCCCAAAGUGCUGGGAUUGCAGGCGUGAGCCACUGCGCCUGGUCCCCAGCAGCGUCUUUUGGCUCGGCUCCUGGCCAUCUCCUGGAGGCCUUUCAUCUGUCGGCCCAAAGCUUCCUCAGGUGGCACCUUUCGGGCGUCCCUUCUGCCUCCCAGUGGCCUCAACAGAAGAGACACCUAGAAGGCCCCACCUGAGGAAGUUUCGGGUUGACAGAUGAAAGGCCGAGCCAAAAGAGGCUGCCUGGCUCAAAACUUGGGCCGGUUGAUGUGGCCAGGAGAAGGUUCAGGCCUGGUGAGGCUGCCAGUAGGGAGGCACAGGCUGGGCCUCCUGGAGUGACUGCCUGAUGGGAACAGGACCUGGGCCCCGUGGGGCCACUGGGAUGCAGGACCUAGCCUCGGAGGGGACCACGUGAUGAUGUAUUGUACCCACGUUGGGGGGUGCCGCCGGGAGGGCAGGAGCUGGACCUGCAGACGCGGACUUCAUGACCCAAUGCUUGGGCCUCCCGAGGCCAGCGGGAGGACAAAGCAGGACUGGGCCUCAGGGCCGAGCUCUGGAGUCCCCGCAGCCUCCCCAGCCCCAGCUGCUGCCUGCUGGCUGCUUCCGCAGGCCAAGGUCUUGCCUACCUGCAUCCACAGGCCCCGUGCCUCCCUCACACUGGCCCGUUGGGGCCCAGCUUGUGCCUGUGGCAAACCUCUCCGGACCCAACUCUCACCUCACACUUGCCUCGAGUCUAGGCCCAGGUCCUCCCUCACAGUGCCCUUCUUCAGCCCAGCUUGCCUAUCACGGUCUCUCCUGGGCCAGCUUCUGCCUCACGGUGGCCUGUUCAGGCCCAAAGCUUCUUAUCCGAGCCAGGCCUAUUCAGGAGGCCCAAAGCUUCUGCCUGCACCAGGACAUUCUGGGCCCAGUCUCCAUUUUUCAGUGGACCCUCCAGGCCCAGCUUGUGGCAUCACAGUGGCCUCUGCUCAGGCUCAGCUCCUGCCUCUGCGGCAACCUGUAUCCACAGGCCCGGUGGCACUCCCGGGCCCAGCGUUUGCCUGGUGGCAUCCUCUCUGGGCUUAGAACGUCUUCAGGUAGGCCUCUCGGGGCCCAGCACCUCCUCUCGGCAGCAUCUAUGGGCCCAACUUCCGAAUUUGCCUCACAGCAACCUCUGUGGACUCAGCUCUUGCCCAGCUCCCGAUGGCGUUUGUAGGCCCAAAAGCUCAGACUUGACUCAGGCUCUCCAGGCCCACCUGGCUCAUGCCUCACAAGUGGCCUCUCCAGGCUUGGCUCCUGCCCUCCGAGGGCAUCUCCAGGCCCUAGACGUUCCAGAGUCAGCUUCUGCAGGCCCGGCUCCUGCUGCCUCCUCCUGCUGGCCUUGGGAGGCCCAAGCAUCGAAUCCUGAAGUCAGCCUCUCCAGGCCCAGUUCCUGCCCUCAUGGCAUCUCCUUUCCAUGGGUGGAAAACAUCCUCACAUGGGUGCCUCCAGGGCCAGCUGCUGCCUCCCAACGGCCCCCUGGGGCCCAGCUUCUACCUCCCCUCAGCCUCUGGGAGGUCCAGCCUAUGCCUCCCUUGUGGCGGCCUCCCCAGGCCCAGAUUCUCCACCUGGCCUCAUCUACUGGACCACGUCGUGCCUCCUGGCAGCUGGUUUUUGCUCGGCUCCUGAUCAGCUUCCAGCGACCUUCUGUAGGCCUGAAGCUUUCUCAAGUGGGGCUUUCUGGGCCUCCGUUCUGCCUCGCGGUGGCCUUGACAGGCCCUGCUACCACCUGACAUUGGCCCCUUUUGGCCCAGCUCUGGACUCUCUGCAGCCUCCCCAGCACCAGCUGCUGCCUGCUGAUGGCUUCCCCAGAUGAAGAUCCUGCCUGCCUGCAUUCUGGCUGCGUCCACAGGCCCAGCGCUUCCCUCACAGUGGCUCAUUGGAGCCCAGCACUUUCCUCACAGUGGCUCAUUGGAGCCCAGCACUUUCCUCACAGUGGCUCAUUGGAGCCCAGCACUUUCCUCACAGUGGCUCAUUGGAGCCCAGCAUUUUCCUCACAGUGGCUCAUUGGAGCCCAGCACUUCCCUCACAGUGGCUCGUUGGAGCCCAGUGCUUUUCUUACAGUGGCUCAUUGGAGCCCAGUGCUGUUUUUACAGUGGCUCAUUGGAGCCCAGCGCUUCCCUCACAGUGGCUCAUUGGAGCCCAGUGCUUUCCUUACAGUGGCUCAUUGGAGCCCAGCGCUUCCCUCACAGUGGCUCAUUGGGGCCCAGCUCAUGCCUGUGGCAAACCUCUCCGGACCCAGCUCUCGUCUCACUCUUGCCUUGAGUCUAGGCCCAGGCGCUCCCUCGCAGGGGUCUUCCUCAGCCCAGCUUGCCUAUCAGACUCUCCCGGGCCAGCUCCUGCCUCCCGGUGUCCUGUCCAGGCCCAAAGCUUCCUUUCCGUGCCCGGCCUCCCCAGGCCCAGCUUCUGCCUGCGCCAGGCCCAUACCGGGCCCAGCCUCUGCCUUUCAUUGGACCCUCCAGGCCCAGCUUGUGGCAUCACCGUGGCCUCUGCUUAGGCCCAGCUCCUGCCUGUGGCAGCCUGUAUCCACAGGCCCCACCCCCAGCCUUCCUGUGGCCCCAUGGGGCCAAGCUGUUGCCUCCCGACGGCCCUCCCGGGCCCAGCAUUUGCCUGCUGGUAUCCUCUCUGGGCCCAGAACAUCUUCAGAGAGGCCGGACUUCACAGAUGCCAUCAUCCUCCGGAAAGGGGCCUCAGUGGAGCACGUGACCUAGGCUUGAGAUCACAGCAGGAGGAGCCAAGAAGACUCACGAUUACCCUCCUGAAUCCCUUCAGACACUCCCAAGUGGCAAGCUGAGUAAAAUGGAACCAUCACCAAGUACAAUCCACAGCAGGUGGGUCUGACCCACACCACGGAGCAUGAGGAGGUCAUCCAGAUCGUGAAGAAGUAAUGGCGCCUGCGAGGCCUUUCGCCUACCUGUCUCAUCUCCCUGGGGGCAUCGGUCCUACUGGGAUACACAAACACCUUGGGUCCUCCACUCAAGGCUCUCCAGGAUUGGAAGCAGAGCUUAGUGGAUUCAAAGGACCAGCUGACACCUUCCACAGCCUAAGGGGUGUCCUAAAGUGCCUCCGUCUUUUUGACCCUCCCAGGGCAGCCCCUGCGCAACAAAAAACCCCCAGACCAUGGGUCUACACACCUGGGCCAGGGACUUUUGAGUUUAGAAUCUGUUUUCUAAGUCCCCAAUUCUUCUGGCUCUCCUUUCUGAAAUAAAGGAUUGGAAACCAUUCCUGUCCAGACUGAGAACACUUUGUAACCUUGCUGAACAGUAGCCAGGUUGAGUCAGGUGGGCACAGCUCAAGCAUUGAAGGUAGCAGUGGGCCUGGGAGUUUAAGAGGGUGGAGCCUGGAUCCCCAGGGCAGCCCCAGGCCAUGGGUGGCAAGGAGAAUGCAGGGUCCCUCAUCCAGGCACGGGCAGGCUCUGCCCAGGGAGCUGGUCAUGGGUGUCACGCCCAGACUGGCCCCUCCAGAGGGGCCUGGCUGCCAAGGUGGGCAGUAUCCCAGGAGGCCUUUGUGACCAUCUGGGUGGCAGGAAGGCUCCCCCAUGAGAACAAGGUGGCUGACCAUUUCCUGUUGCCUCAGAAGCCAGGAGCAGAGGGGCUGGCAGGGGCUCAUUGAGUACCUACAAUGUGCCAGGGACAGUGCUGGCCCCUCACGGUAUUCUACUGUCCCUUGGAAGGUGGUGCAGGUUGAACAGUUUUUGAAUGCAGAGCCCAGAUGUAAGACCUGUGAGCAGCAGCGAAGGCUUCCUGGAGGAGGUGUGCCUUUUUGGAGGGAUGCAGCAGGUUCUGUGAGGCUGUCAGGAGAGGUAGAGAGCUCCAGGGGUCCUCAGGCCCAGCUGGAGUAUGGAGCAGGCCCAGGCCCAGGUUCUGGGCUGUUUGCAGCUCCGCUGUCAGCUGCUCAGUCCUUUCCAGAGACAAAACAGGAAUAAUAGACAUCAUUAAAUAUACAUGUGGCUGGGGCCCCAGGCGGUUGACCUGGUGGGCCGGGCCUCCCUUCCCCAUAACACCGAGCUGCUCUGCUGGGCUGAUUGUGCUCCUGGGCCAGCCAGAGGACCCCCAUGAGGCAGCAUGCAGGCUAGGAGCAGGCCACGGGACCCAGAUAAGGGGUCCCUAGCCUAGAGUCCUUGGGGUUGGCCACUAGCUACCCUCCCAUCUCAGACUGCAGGAGCAGCAGCAGAGCUGGGGCCUUGCCCCAACUCACCUCGAGGCCCUUCGCUGCCUCACUUUGUUCAUCUGUGAGGGGUGUGAUGCCCAUGCAGCCCCCUCCUGGUGAUGGUGGGAUACCAAGACAGGCAAGGGCUCCUUGGCCCCUCUCCCAACAGCCCUGAUGCCUGGCCAUGAGGCCCUAAGUGAGGGUUUCUACCUGGGUGGUGGCCAUUCCCACUUCCACUUUACAGGCAAGGGCUCUGGCCCUGGGUGAGGUGGGGAAGGCCUUGAGUUCACACAGUGUCAGGCUGAGUGUGGGCCUUGGGUUAGAUCCAGGCCUGUUCUGUCCCCCUGGCUGGCUGACAAAAGGGGACAAACGAGGCCAGAGGCUGGGGGGUCCUCAGGCAGUGAGGGCUCGGGUGAGUGGCUCCUGCCACUGGGCAUGUUCCUGGGCUAGGUCUGUUGUGCGUGGGGGUCAGGCAGGCACUACAGCUCUGUUGUGUCCUGGGCUUUCUGGAUCUGUGGGCAGGAUGGUUGUAUGGUCUACAUUUGCAUGUGAGACUGAGUGAGAGAUCAUGCAACUGUGUAUGCCCAGGUCAGUGUGAAGUGUAGUUCGUGGUGCCCUUAGGGCUGGGAAGCUCCCUAAGACCCCCUCAAAGGUCCCAGACCCCUCCCCCAACUGGGGCGGGCUCCAGGCUUGGGCCUCACCCUGUCAGCCACCUUGUUCUCAUCACUCAUGCUCCCUGGCAAUCACAGGCAGGGGUCUGCACCCUCACCCAGGCCAUGCCCAGGCAGCAGAGCUGCACUCAGCUCCCAGCUGGCAUCCCUGCAGCCUCCCAGGGGUCAUCUGCCUGCAGCUUUAGAAGACUCAGGUACAAAGGAGACAAAGAAAUGCAUAUUAUUCUGUCCCAUGCUUGUGCAUUCUCUCAUUCUCCAUCUUUCUUCCUCUCCAGCUUAGAUUCCAGUUUUUUGUUCCAGAACCCUCCUUUGGCAAGCAAGAAAGCCAAGUCGAGAGCCUCUGCUUCCCACUCUGUCCUUCUCCUAGACAGCUCACCCCACCUCCAGCCUCCGUCUCACCAGACCUGGGUCCGAGCAGCCUUUUUGACUCUCCACUGCACUGUCCCAUAGCCAUCCAAACGCUCCGUGUCCCAGACCAAACAUGGCCUUCCCACCCCACCCAGCCUCACCUCAGAGACACUCUGUGCACCCUCCAGCUGCACCAACCCAACCCCAAGUUCACCUGGCUCCCCCCUCAUCCCAGCCCCAUCUAGCCCCUCACCAGGGCCAGCAUGUUUUACCUCAUCCUGAAUGUGCCCACUGGACUCCAUCACAGCAUGGUCCCAGCCACACCACUGUCCCCGCUCCACUCUUUUCACAUGGUGGCCUGAGCUGCCUUUUCUCCUGCUUCCUAAGAAGCCAUGUGAGCCAGUGGUUGAGACCGUGGACACUCUGGAGCCAGACUGCCCAGGCUCAACUCCACCUACAAGCUCUGUGGGCCCAUGUCCUCCUCUGCAAAGUGGGAAGAAUAAUCACACCCACUUCAGGAGGUUGUAGUGAGUUGAGUUCUGUGUGGCCUGGCAGUUCUGAACACAGGCCUUGCCGUCACAGGUCCCAUUGCUUCCUCACUGUGGGCUCUCCGCUGAGGGAUCUAACCUGAGAUCAAGCCCUUCAUCUAUAAAAUGUGAAGAACAGUUGCUGUCCUACUUAUGUGAGAAUCUAGUGUGAUACUUCAGAAAAGCAUUUAGCACCAAGCCUGGCACACAGUAAACAUCUGGAAAUGUGGAACAGUGACCAAAGUCCCAUCCCUUUUAUGUUUGAUUGGGCUAGUCCCUGCCUGCCACCCUGGACACCUCUCAUUUCACAUGCCCUCAAUCACUCUGCUGUAGCCAUAGACUGUCCCUGAAGCCCCUCUUACUACCUGGCAUUUGCACAUGCUGUUCCACUUGCCAGCAAUACUGUUCCCUCUUCCAUGUGAUCAGCUCCCUCUUAUCCUUAUCUUGGUUCAGGGUUACCUUGUCAGGAGAAUCUUCCUGGACCUCCAAUGCAGUGUUCACCCAUCUGGGGUCAUGCCCUGACCUUCACAGCUCUUCUUAUUGGUGUGACUCUUUGUUUAAAGCCUGCAUCCAGGAUAGGCAUGGUGGUUCAUACCUGUAAUCCCAACACUGGUAGGCUGAGGCAGGAGUAGUGCUUGGGGGCAAGGCGUUCAAGACCAGCCUGGGCAACUUAAUGGGACCCUGUCUCUAGAAAAACUGAAAGCAAUAGCCAGGUGUGGUGGCACACACCUGUGGUCUCAGCUGCUUGGGCAGCUGAGGUGGGAGGAUUGCGUGAGCCUGAGAGCUCAAGGCUGCAGUGAGCUGUGAUUAUGUUACUGCACUCCAGCCUAAGCGACGGAACAAGACCCUGUCUCAAAAAACAAAAACAGAAAACAAAGUCUGUGUCCCCUACAACGCAGGGAACUUCAUGAGAGCAGAGAUCAGGUUGGCUUUCACUCCACUCUGCCAACCCUGAGUGCCCUGCAUAGUGCUUGGCACAUAACACAUGCACAACUAAUGCACAGCUAAUAUUUAAAGAAUCAAUAAAUGAGAGACUAGUAGCCUGACACCCGCUCUGUGCCUGCACAGAGGUCAGGAACCCUGAGAGGGAGGCAGGACCUGGAACCUACCAGAGAAGGGGCAACCUCAGCUGACUUCUUGCCCGAGGCCCCAGAGACCAAGAGGGGUCAGGUGGGCAGGACUUGCUGCCAGCAGUCACCCAGACCACCUCACUCAGAGCAGACAGGCAGAGGCCUGUAGCAACGAUGUUGGCAGUCAUAACAGCUGCUUACCCAGGCCAGCCACUGUGCCCGGCUCUCCACCAUUUCAUGUAAUGCCCAGGCCAGCCUUGGUAGGGGAGGUAUCUACACUCACGGAUGAGGAGACUAAUGCUGAGGCUGCAUGACUUGCUAUGGGUCAGAUCCAAGUGAGGAAUGAGACCUGACCCAGAGCUCUGAGCCGCGGGCCUCCUCAUCCCCUGGGCUAGAGCUGGGCUUGCCUCUCCGAGUGGCAGGUCUUCAUCUGGACAAUGGGGUUUUGCAGGUGAAAGAUGCCUGCCUGCGGGCUUGAGGCAUGACUUGGGCAAGUCCCUAGACAAUGGUGGCCUCUCAGCCUUUCUUUUUUUUUUUUUUUUUUUUAGGAGAAAGAGAAUAAUAUUUAUUGGGCAUGCCAUACACCAAGUUAGAUUUUUUUUUAUUAUUAAUAGCACCAGUAUCUCUGAACCUGAUUUAUUUUUUUAUCUUUUUAUUGCAUUUUAGGUUUUGGGGUUCAUGUGCAGAACAUGCAAGACAUCUGCAUAGGUACACACAUGGCAGUGUGUUUUGCUGCCUUCCUCCCCUUCACCCACAUUUGGCAUUCCUCUCAGCCUGUCUUCUGGACAGACAAGGCUCCCUGCUUGGGGCAGACAGAAAGUAUGGCUCUGGGAGGUGCUCCUGGUUCUGAAGAGCCAGCCCUGCCCCACUUGUCCCCAGCAAGUCUUCUGACCUCUCUCUGCCUCACUUUCAACAAAUGUUACGUGGCUGUGGGGGUGGAGUUGGAUCUGGGACAUCUCAGGCCCUGACAUUCUUCCUGAGAGCCUGUCUAAAGUGGUGUUUCCACUCACUGUCUCCAAUUUCUUUUUUUCCAUUUUCACAUUUACAGUGUUGUGGUGGGUGGGGACAGUGUCUCGCUCUGUCUCUCAGGCUGGAGUACAGUGGCGCAACCUCGCCUCCCGGCACCCUCCACCUCCCGGGUUUAAGUGAUUCUCCUGCCUCAGCCACCACACUGUGCACGCCUUUAGCUGGGAUUACAGGUGUGCACCACCACACCCAGCUGAGUUUUGUAUUUUUUAGUAGAGAUGGAGUUUCGCCAUGUCGGCCAGGCUGGUCUUGAGUUCCUAGCUUCAAGUGAUCCACCUGCCUCGGCCUCACAAAGUGCUUGGACUACAGGUGAGAACCUCCAUGCCCAGCCACCAUUUAUACUUUUAAAUGUGACAUUUUUGUUUGUUUUUUGACUCAGAAAUGCACUCAUAUGGAUCAAAAAUCAAACUAAUGUAGAAAGAUUUAUAGGGAGAUAACCAUUCUCAUUAAUUUCUUGUGUAGCUUUUGUUGUAUUUUUUUUUGAGACAGAGUCACUCUGUCACUCGAGCUGGAGUGCAGUGGCAUAAUCUCAGCUCACUACAACCUCCGCCUCCUGGGUUCAAGCAAUUCUUAUGGCUCAGCCUCCUGAGUAGCUGGAACUACAGACACACACCAUCAUGCCUGGCUAAAUUGUGUAUUUUAGUAGAGAUGGGGUUUCAUCGUGUUGCCCAGGCUGGUUUCAAACUCCUGAGCUCUGGCAAUUUGCCCACCUCAGCCUCCCAAAGUGCUAGGAUUAUGGGCUUGAGCCUCCACACCCAGUGCUGAAUUUCUUUUAUUUGUUUUGACACAGGGUUUUGCUCUGUGUCAGAGUCUGGAGUGCAGUGGCGUGAUCACGGCUCACUGCAGCCUCAAAUCCUGGCUCAAGUGAUUCUUCCACUUCAGCCUCUUGAGUAUCUGGGCCUACAGGCACUUGCCAACACUCCCCACUAAUAUUUUAGUUAGUUUGUUUUUUAGAGACACGGUCUCAUAUUGCCUAAGCUGGUGUCAAACUACUGGGCUCCUCCCAUUUCAGCCUCCCAAAGUGCUGGAAUUACAGGCAUGAGCCACAGCGCCCGGCCUAAUGAUUCUAAAAUUAAUAUGGAAAUGCAGAGAACUUAGAAUAGCCAAAACAAUGCUGAAGAAGAACAAGACUGGAGAGCCAACCACCACGAAGUCAUCUCCUUUGAAUAUCCCAUUCCUCAUUGAGGGUGGCUCUCAGCAGCAAAUAACUCAUCAAUCACUUUCUCCAUAUUGUUGUAUAUUAAUUUCUCUCAACGAGGCAGUAAGCAACUUAAAAGCAUAUUCUAGUCACAAACACCUCUUCAGUAGUAAGGCAUAGUGCUUAAAAUCCAAGACUCUCCAGGCAGAUGGGCUUCAUGGCCCCGUUUCUGUAUUUAUUAUCUAACUGACUCUGGCAACUUUCUUCUCUCUGGUUAGUUUCUCCAUCUGCGACAUGGGGCAGCAGUGAUAACGGUGUCCACGUAGAGUGCCUAUGGAGCUUAACUGAAAUAAGAGUGCCUGGCACACAGUAUCUACCUACUUAAUUAUUGUGUUUUGAAUAAACUGACUCCCAGAUCAGAAAGCA